UCUGUGCUUAUUUAUAUUAAUUCAUGCUUGUAUUUUUUGAAUUAUUUUUAUUUUUCAGAGUUGGUUGAACUAAGAGAAGGAACCAUGUUGACUCCUCUCAACUUUAUUAAUUAUGAAGUUUAUGUGUUGGCCCAUCAAUAUUUGACGAUCAUUAUUAGUUGAUUUAUGUUGGAUAUGCUAUUUACUACGUGAAUAUUCUUUUUUGUAUUCUGACCAGAAUCUCGAGAUUUAUUAUUUUUAUGAAUUGAAAAAAAAAUCGAUUUAAGCAUUAUAAAGGUUGCCCUAGCACUCCAAACAUCUAUCAUGUAGUAGUUAAGUUAAAUUUCCAAAAAUUAAUUGUACAUUGCCUCAAAUGCAUUGUUAAUGGCAAAAGACUUUAAUUUAUAUGCCCAAAAUAUUCAGAAAAUCCUGAUGUUAAGGUUCUGGUGGUUGCUAGUGUCAAUAAGCUCGUGAUGAAGUUCAGCUCAGCAAAAUUGCU
rnacentral:lncRNA from 1 species